rnacentral:rRNA from 1 species
ACCCGCUGAACUUAAGCAUAUCAAUAAGCGGAGGAAAAGAAACUAACAAGGAUUCCCCUAGUAACUGCGAGUGAAGCGGGAAAAGCUCAAAUUUAAAAUCUGGCGGUCCCUGUGGCCGUCCGAGUUGUAAUUUAGAGAAGUGUUAUCCGCGCUGGACCGUGUACAAGUCUCCUGGAACGGAGCGUCAUAGAGGGUGAGAAUCCCGUCUUUGACACGGACUGCCAGGGCUCUGUGAUGCGCUCUCGAAGAGUCGAGUUGUUUGGGAAUGCAGCUCAAAAUGGGUGGUAAAUUCCAUCUAAAGCUAAAUAUUGGGGAGAGACCGAUAGCGAACAAGUACCGUGAGGGAAAGAUGAAAAGAACUUUGGAAAGAGAGUUAAACAGUACGUGAAAUUGCUGAAAGGGAAACGCUUGAAGUCAGUCGCGUUGCUCAGGAUUCAGCCUUGCUUCUGCUUGGUGUACUUCCUGUUCGACGGGUCAACAUCAAUUUUGGCCGGUGGAUAAAGGCACAGAGAAUGUGGCAUCUUCGGGUGUGUUAUAGCUCUGGGUCGCAUACAUCGGCUGGGAUUGAGGAACUCAGCACGCCGCAAGGCCGGGUACUUGUACCACGUACGUGCUUAGGAUGUUGGCAUAAUGGCUUUAAUCGACCCGUCUUGAAACACGG